rnacentral:rRNA from 1 species
GUAGGCAGGCGAAGCGUUUUUUGGGAGUUAAUGGGGGUUAAAGGGUGUGUAGCCGGUUCUCUAAAGUUUGGGUGUGAAAUCUCCCGGCUCAACCCGGGAGGGUGCGCCGAAAACUGGAGGGCUAGAGUGCGGGAAGGGAGAGUAGAAUUCCUGGUGUAGCGGUGAAAUGCGUAGAUAUCAGGAGGAAUACCGGUGGUGUAGACGGCUCUCUGGACCGCGACUGACGCUGAGACACGAAAGCGUGGGUAGCAAACAGGAUUAGAUACCCUGGUAGUCCACGCCCUAAACGAUGCAUAUUUGGUGUAGGUCAUUCAGUUGAUCUGUGCCGGAGCUAACGCGUUAAAUAUGCCGCCUGGGGAGUACAGUCGCAAGGCUG